GCAGAAGAAACAGCCAGGUUCUGGAUAGUGAAAUUCACCAGUCCUAGAAAGUCUUUUAGUACUUAUUUUCUAUUUAUUCAGAGAUAUCCUUUGCUGCUAUGAUGGCGAUUAACAUUCUACUGCGCAUGUGGAGCCAGAGCCACAAAUGCCGCACAUCAGGAGCUGACAGUGAGCCAUACUGAUGCUGAUAUUCAGUGGACAAACCAUGACAGCUGUCUGUUCAGAGUGACCAGUUUUUAUGAAAAAGGCCACAUCUUCAUGACCAGAAAGAAUAAGCAAGAAUUGCCAUCUUGGCUGCAGAUCCUUCUUUGAGGAGGUGGAUCUCAUCCAUGCUUAGGACAUAUGGAGAGUGAAAUAAUAACUAAGCAAGGAUUUUCAAGGAUGCAAGGAUGAACUCCGAGCCAGCAUCAGGGAUUGUGCUUCAGAGUCAUGUUAUUACAGCAGCAGAUAAUCUAUUGCCAACUACUUAACUGUGAAGAAAACCUGUCACAGUUGGGAAGUGCCCACCAGAGACCAACGCAUCCCUGAAGCACUCUGUCUUUUUUAAAUAAGGGAUAAAUACAUUUCUUUAAUUUCUCACUCUCAUGGACUUUCCUUUUAUUCAUAAUUCUCCUAGUGAGUAGAAAAAUUUGUCUGGGGAUUCAGCUCCCAGAAUACUUGUAUUCCCCAAGAAGUGGU
rnacentral:lncRNA from 1 species